ensembl:lncRNA LINC01939 long intergenic non-protein coding RNA 1939
AGGGACAGGCGUCACCCCCACCAGCAGGUGCAGAGGUGCCGUUGCAGCAGUUGGAUGUGAGGCCAAGAAGCAGAAGCUAAGGGAGGGGGUCUGGGGCAUCCCUGGAGCUCAGAAGCCAAGGCCCGUGCCUGCCCCAGGGCUGGUGCCAUACAUAGUUCCAGGUACUGGGGACGGAGGGUAGCCGAUGGGGCCCUGAGCAGGACGUGCCUCUUCUGGACUUGACCACAGAACCCAAGCAUGGUUCAAGCGAUUCUCCUGCUUCAGCCUCCUGAGUAGUUGGGAUUACAGAUGCCCGCCACCGCACCCAGUCACAGAUGGACUCUGAGAGAGAAAAUAGCACCCCUGUCCAAACAUCACAUGCCUGGCGGAGGAACGCAGCCUGGCCUGUGCAGCCGAAUGUUGGAGAGUGCACCUUCCUCUCUUAUUUUGUUUUAUUUCCAGGGAAAGGGAAAGGAAGACAUGCAGGUAAUUUAUCAACUAAAUUACAGGCUGACUGAUAAUAAAGCUCCCCGCCCCACAAAAAAAGGAAAUGAUUGUGGGGUUUUAGUGGGUUUUCAAUG